AGUGAACGCUGGCGGUAGGCCUAACACAUGCAAGUCGAACGGCAGCACAGUAAGAGCUUGCUCUUACGGGUGGCGAGUGGCGGACGGGUGAGGAAUACACCGGAAUCUACUUUUUCGUGGGGGAUAACGUAGGGAAACUUACGCUAAUACCGCAUACGACCUACGGGUGAAAGCAGGGGAUCUUCGGACCUUGCGCGAUUGAAUGAGCCGAUGUCGGAUUAGCUAGUUGGCGGGGUAAAGGCCCACCAAGGCGACGAUCCGUAGCUGGUCUGAGAGGAUGAUCAGCCACACUGGAACUGAGACACGGUCCAGACUCCUACGGGAGGCAGCAGUGGGGAAUAUUGGACAAUGGGCGCAAGCCUGAUCCAGCCAUACCGCGUGGGUGAAGAAGGCCUUCGGGUUGUAAAGCCCUUUUGUUGGGAAAGAAAAGCAGCAGGUUAAUACCCCGCUGUUCUGACGGUACCCAAAGAAUAAGCACCGGCUAACUUCGUGC
rnacentral:rRNA from 1 species